rnacentral:rRNA from 1 species
AUUGAACGCUGGCGGCAUGCCUUACACAUGCAAGUCGAACGGCAGCACGGGAGCAAUCCUGGUGGCGAGUGGCGAACGGGUGAGUAAAGUAUCGGAACGUGCCCAGUCGUGGGGGAUAACGUAGCGAAAGUUACGCUAAUACCGCAUACGAUCUAUGGAUGAAAGCGGGGGAUCGCAAGACCUCGCGCGAUUGGAGCGGCCGAUAUCAGAUUAGGUAGUUGGUGGGGUAAAGGCUCACCAAGCCGACGAUCUGUAGCUGGUCUGAGAGGACGACCAGCCACACUGGGACUGAGACACGGCCCAGACUCCUACGGGAGGCAGCAGUGGGAAAUUUUGGACAAUGGGCGAAAGCCUGAUCCAGCCAUGCCGCGUGCAGGAUGAAGGCCUUCGGGUUGUAGACUGCUUUUGUACGGAACGAAAAGGUUUGGCCUAAUAAGCUGAGCUCAUGACGGUACCGUAAGAAUAAGCACCGGCCAACUACGUGCCAGCCGCCGCCGUAA